ensembl:miRNA
GGCUUCACAGUUUCCUCAUUGUACAUGCUGUGUGCCUUCUCGGUACACGCACAGCGCAUACAAUGUGGACAUUGUGGGGUUCUGUCCAGCU